AGCAUGCCCAUCACAACUGGAGGGUAUUACCACCAUUCUGUAGCUAUUGUUAUUAAUUUGUAUCAUCGUAUCAGAUUGAAGACUUUACUGUGUACAUAAUGAAAAGCUAAGCCCCAUCCCAAAGACCUUUGAACGAUUAUAAAGAGAGAAAAAUAGGAGUGGGAUACAAGAGACUGGAGGAACACAAGAUAACAGGAGAAGGAAAAGAAAAUUACAAAAAAAAGGGAAAUCGCCCAGUGUUGGAACAGCAUGGUCUGUCCAGCUGUUGUCCUGCGUCUUCUGGGCAGUGCAGCGAAGGCAAGAUCUGAGGAAGUGUCUGCCUAAGGCACGCUUGGCUUGAGGAGCGAUAGGGUCUGCCUCGGUAUUAGGAGAAAAAAAUAUAGGUUGGAAGUAACUGAGCUGUGGAGGAGUGAAGGCCGUUGCUUUACUUAUGGUAGCGAUGAAAAUGGAACCAGUGGGUUGAGGAAAAGAGGAACACAGAGUAGCCAGCUCCUUGCCCCAAGAGAACGGCCAAACUGAAUGUGGAUAGUGGGUGUUAGGGCAGCUUGCUGUAUCUGGGCUGUGGGACGAUCUCAACAUCGUAAUCCUGUUUAAACCUGCUUUGCGGUGUCCUUUUUUCCCAGACAUAAAGGAUUUUUCAGCAGAGGAAGAGAAGCACUGAGACUACAUCACCACGUACGGAAUAUUACAUACAGCCCGGUCACCUGUGGUCAGGCAUUAAAUUGCAGCAGGUGUGGAGAGAGCAGUUCUGGUGAUUCAGCAACUGAAGAGGCAGCUUUAGGAAGCAGUGUCUGGCAAAUUUGGGCUGUGCAGUGAUCUAUAAGCCUUUUUGUUCAGGCUUACCCUUUCAUUCUUUGUACUAAUGCAAAGGCUGAGGAGCAUCUACAGCAAAGCUGUUUGCUUUACUCUGAAGUCUGUACCACUUCUGAGAUGCACAUGCUCAUGUCUCGCUCUAACCUCAUAAAGGGCAUUAAUUGCAGCUCCGAUUGCCCCCAGCUGAUGAGCACACCUGCAAGAGCUGAGUGUGGGUGACUCCCAUAUGCAGCUUCUGCUGGAGAAGACCCCUUGUUAUCUCGUUUUACCCCGUGAUCUCACCUGUUUUUCUCAUUUUUCCUCCAGUCUCCUGGCUGUUCUUGGUAAAGUAGAGGCAGAAUUUGCUUCAUUAUCCAAGUCUAGACAGCUGUCUGCCUUUUGAGUGGAUUGCCUCUAAUGCCUGGCUCCCUUUGGCAGCGUGGACAGGCCCAGGUCAUCCCUGACGUAAGAGCACAGAUGAGCAGAAGCCUGUAAUGUUGAAAGUGCAGCUGUCUGCAGACUACGGGUAUCUGUGUCCAGAACAAAACCCUCACAACAGCUUCUGCCUGUACACAGGUCAGGACUCCUGGAUCCCAGAUGUUUCUGAGGUAAAAUACUGUUAUGCACUUGGAACAAGGAGGGGAAAAUGGCAUAAACAGUGUAAGACAGCUCAGCUACCACUGAGAAAUAUGUGUUCGUUGCAUUAAUUUCUCCGCAACAGCUGAUUAUGAAGUGCCUUCACACGACGCAAUCUCUGGUCCAUGCAAGGCUGUCCAUGCGUUGCAAGGGGAGGUUUCAGCAUUUGAAAGUAGACUCCUGCUAGUUGAACGGGGAUUUUGAGACUCUCACGGCACCUAAAUGUGGAAUUUAGGUCCCCUGCCAAAUGGCUUCGUUAUUUUCCCACCCCUGAGAGCUGUGUGUUGGCAGAAUGCAUGCCGGCCUCACCAGUGUCGUCUGCAUGUGCCUCUGUGCUCCUACACUUACAGCAGUCAGCCUGAUGGACCUUCAACUUGCUCCCUUUCUGCCUUGUGGAAGGGAAGUCUGAGUCUGCAUUUCUGCAGAUGUGCUGGACCAAAUGACCUGUGUUACUUUCCUCUCAAAAUACACGAUGAUCACGAAGAUAAUGCAGGAGGCUGGGUGCCUGUUUUGUAAAGGCAGUGAAAUGACUCCAAAUGAGAGAAAAGCAGGCUAGCCCAAUCUUUGGUUGGUGGGGAGAUGGAGGUAGAGGGGUGCAGCACAGCUGUAAUUACCCCCAAAAAUCUAUUUUUGCGGUUCAAAAGGCAUUUCUUACAGCUUCAUCUGCAGGGUUCAGCGCCCGACUUCAUUGGUUGGCUUGUAGAGCCUGCUUCUGGUAUUCUGAUCUCAGCAGCCAUGUAUCGGAGGAGACAGAGAUGAAACAAAUUAGGCGCCAAAGCUAGCCCCGUGCUAACUAAUGGGAUGUGUCUGUGAGCAGCGAGCAGCCCCGCAGCUGCUGGUGCAGCCAUUUCAUCCAGCACUCGUGAGCAUUCUCAAAGCUGCUAGGUAUGAAGCGAGCUGGCAGCUGGGAAAGGAAGCGCUGAUAAAGGAGUCAAUCAAAAACAUUUUGAUUGCAGGUUCACGCGUCUCAUUUUAAAAUGAAACAACCCCCCUGGAGCUGUGGCACAAACCGUCUCCCUCUGAUCCCUGCCCGGCCGUGUCCCGCUUACAUCCCACGGCAGGAGAAGCCGUUGUGGGUGCACAGAGACACUGCAGAGGCUUUGCCCACCUGGCACGGCAUUUUUGGGCCUCCAUCACCUGUGGGCCCACGGAGACCUGCUGCCACCACAGCUUCUCUGUUACUGUCAUAUGUUGACAUGGAGAAAUGGAGGUCAGAUAUGGUAUUCGUGUGACUAAAGCAAGGGCUGCUUCAUUGCGAGCUGCCUUCCAUUUAGUUUCUUCUUUGUAAAGGGAAGAAGAAUAGUGUCUUUGCAGCAAUUUGUGGCUUAUUUUUGUGUCGUGCAUCAAAUCUGCAACAAAAAUGAAGGUUUAACACCCUUUGAAUUAGACUUAGCUAGCCCCCGUUCCCAGGUCUUCUAUUCAUUUUGCUUUUUUGCUUACCCUUGGCUGCUGGAAAUUCAUUAUCUUGGGUGUGCUGUAGUAUGCAGAAUUGGGGCCCAUCAGCUGAGCUGCGCUAGGACAGUUCUGGGUUUUGUUUCUUUAUUACAUGCAAAUGGCACCAGCUGGAUGGCUUUGUGUAAGCAAGGGGAAUAGCUGCUUGCUCUGUCUGGUUUGUCUUAAGCACUGUGUGCUGUAGCAGAGGAGCAGUGGGGGAGAGCUGCCCGCUUAUCCUGCUGUAGCUGCGCGCAGGUGAAGCCCUGGGGAAGGAGGAGAACCUUGUACUUCCCUCAGAGGAAAGAAAAAAAAAAAGCUGUUUGCAGUUAGGAAAACCUUGGGGAGGGAAAGGAGAGCAGAGACAUGGGCAGGGAGUCUCCAGCAGAAGAGGCAGAGUCCCUCUCUUUUUCCACAAGGACAAAGUGAUGAAUGGAAAAACCUCAGUUUUGGUGGCUUUGAUAUAUUUUGGUGGCUUUUGACUGCCUCAGCAAGCACAGCUCCAUUUUUUUUUCUCUAUUUAAAGAGAGGGCUUAUUUUAGAGCCUGACAAAGUAGAACAUGUUUUGGUUCAGAGAGUAGGAGCUUCUUGGCGUACAUGUUGUGCUCAUUUGAAAGUAGAGGUGGGGCAUAGCUCCAUACUCUAGCGGAUUCAUGGUCCUGUCACAGCGUAUUUUUCUACUUUCCUUCUACAUUAAUUGGAAAAAUGGAAAAUAAUGAAGCAGGGACGUAAAAUAGGGUACCUGGAUCGAUAAAAUGUCAGUUUGCUUGCAUCAGUGUAACAGGCAGAGCUCAUGUCAUGCGGCUAAAUAAAUAGAUGUGGUUUUUUUUCAGCAUUGUGGUUGUCCGGAGUGCUUUAAAAGCAAAGACGAUGUUCAAAAAUCCCAAGCCUUCAUCUGUAUGAGCAGGGUAAGCAACAGUGAAUGGAAACAAAUGCCUCGUUACAUGUUUGUGCAGUGUUUUAUUGGAAAUUACCGGCAUCCUCUGUGUCGUGAGAGGCUGCUGAAGUCUGGUCAGUGUUGCUGCUGCUGGGUGGUGGCGGUGUCUUGGUACGGAGCUCUCGGGCACUGCGUGGCCAGCAGAUGUGUACUCAGAUCUCGGCGUUGGGCUUCUCGAAGACCCCCAGGCUCAGAUUUGUGGCAGGGACCCAGCCGGACUUACUGUGGACAAGCACAGCCCUAAUGCUGCUAGCCAGGUUUGUGAGCUGGUUUGAUCAACGCCUUUGCAAGCCAAGCAAUGCCCAGUGAGCAAUGCUCUGCCUAAGGAGAUGCUAGCAAACCCAUUUUCAUGGCACUUAGUGUUCACUGGUGGUGUUUUUUUCUUCAAGCUUUCAGUAGCAGCCCAGAAAUUUACAAGUCUUUGUGCAGUUUCUCUGAUGUUGCAGCAUUUCCAGAGAGGUUUUUUUAAAUACCGAUGGAAAGGGAAGGAAUCUUAAUGGUCAGGAAGAAGGAGCUGCUGGUUUAUCUGGGAACAAGUUUCAUUUCAGCCAGAUAUCUGAAGUCUUCGUACUUCUUUGAUGCACCCCUUACUUCUCAGCUUCACUUCUCAGCCCUAAAUGCUGCGGCUCAAUAAACGUCCAUCAAUCAAUAGAUAAAUAUAGACAUAAAACCGGGUUGCUGCCAAGGACCUGGCCUAGGGAGGAGUUAACCAUGGGAGCUGGAGGAGAAUUUCUGCUUUCAAGGCUGCUAAAACUUAAAUGAAAGGAAAUUCCUUUAAACCCUGACCUUCAGCUCCUGGGUUUACUUUGUUCAUGUUCUUUUCCAGGAGCCACAUACUGGCUUUACUUAUACUGGGUAAAAUAAAUAAGUGUGUGGCCCUUUCUCCUACGUGCAGGCAGCUUAUUUCUGACAGAAAAGGUUCUUUAUGAAAUUCUGAAAUUAACACUGACAGACGACCUCUCAAUAGUCUGUAUUUAACACUUCUUACACGCAUUUUGGUGCUUUACAAAUAGGAUUGCAUGCUCUGAUCCCCUUUCCAAAGGGCAAAUGCCUCAGGAGGAAACAGCCACAUUUGCAACAUCCCCCCCAAAAAAUCGAACAGCAUCCUAGUGUGAGAAAGAGAAUAGUACUUCAGCUAGGCUUAGGAAACUUAAAUUGUAAGAAGUUGGUCUAGUGCACAGUCAUCCUGGCUAGCGUCGUGUCCUUUUACUAAUCUUACGUCUGUUUUCCGUGUCUUGUGAAAAUUGGGUACUGAGCCAAAGUGUUAGCUCAGCCUGGAGCAGUUAAGUUGUGUCCUGUGUUGGCGCUGUGCAGUGCCUGAUGCAGGGCCCAUCCUGUGCUCGACUUGGACUGGCAAGGUGUGACCUGUGAAAUAACGGGGCCAAGGGCUCGUCCUGAGCACACAGAAUGCAACGUGGCGGAGAGAUCUGCUGAUUCUCCAAGCUCCAUGCCCACAGUGAUGAGGUGGGCACUGUCAGCUCCUGGAAUCAAGUUCUGCCUACAGCCUGGCUUCCAAGGGGGGGCUGGUGAGUGCUAACCCUAAAAAGCAGCCAAGCGUUGCCCUCAUUGCAUGCCAGGAGGAUAUUCCCCUCCAAGUCACGCACCCCUUUGGCUGUGCCGAGCUGCCACUUGCCUGGGGGGAUGAUGUUGCAAGGGGGUACAACUUGUGCGCCAGUCUGACUGGGGAUGCCAGCUCUUUCCCUGGUUUGCCAUAUUCAGUAUGCACAAAUGCACUAGUGGAGUGUGAUUCUUGUGUAUGGGGGGGUUUGGACUCUGCCUCCUUAUCAGAGGUGGCUUCCACAUUUAAAUGAGCUGGGGAUAAAUGGAUACUUCAGAGCUGAGUAGUACUUCUCUAUCCUUGCUGAAUACACAAAUUGUUGAGAUGUCUGCAGGUGAAGGUUGCAUAGUCUGUCAUCUCUGAGAUAAGUAAUGCUUGGGUACGUGAGUGAGCCUGUCCUGCGAGUGUCCUAGUCCCAAACCCUUAUUUAUAUGCUUUAAAAACAAAGGGUAAAAAUUAGCCAUUCUAGGGCUAAUUCUUCCAUCUUCUCAUGGGCUCUGGAACAGCAGUUAUCUGGUGACGGUGUUACGCAGUACUCACAAACGGUAGCUCACAGUUAAGCCCUCUCAAACAGAGAAUUACAGCAAGAAAGCCAUAAAUAAUAAGAACAGCAAGGGUCGGGCUAUCUGGCUGGGAAGAACUGUAUGGUGCAGUAAGCCUAUCCCCUUUUGUUCCUUCUGCUGUUAAUGCCUCAAUACCCGCUUCCAUGGUGCUUUCUGAGGAAUCAGAAAGGUAAUGCUGUAUUCAAAACAUGUUUUAGUCUUAGAAUUACAUUUUGGUACAUUCUACACAAAUUUGUGUCAUCUUUAAGGUGGGUAUCUAGCUCUGCCUGAUAUAUUUUGUCUUCAGACUGCUCUCAAAAUAAGCGGUGCUCCCCGCCUCUGCCCCAGAAAGGUGCCGAGUGUCAGCCAAGGAAAACUGCUCCGUGGGGCCGUUGCAUGGCUGAAUGAGGGCUGGCAGGAGCCAGGCGGUCGGUGCUGCCUUAACCUCCCUGCCCUGCUGGCUGCACGCGGGUGUUUCCAUCCCCGUGAGUGGUGUGGGUGCUGCAGGCUGCUCCUCUCCUCCCCUGCCUUCCUGCUAGGGGUAAGGUCUGCUAGGAACAAGCCACCCUGAAAAGCACAAUCCAAGCACAGACCAGCACCAGCUUCUUUAAUACAUCGUGUCUCUUUAUAAACAAUUUUAUUGUUUCGCACGACAAAUGUGGUUAGAAAGAGCAGGUACGAUACGCAACUUGAUCGCUUCAGGGACGCGUGGCUGCUUGGUUCUGUGAAUCCUGAAGUCUUGCAGGGCCUGGGGUGAGAGCGCAGAGCUCUGCUGCAGCUGUGGGGCCAGGGGCAGCUCGUGCAUGGAUGCAGCCGAGGCAGCGUGAUUGGCUUUACCUUCAUCACCAGGCUGAGACCAGCACAGGCAAGGAGCUGGUUCUGACUUUGGUUCUGACUUAUGUAAUGCUUUUGACUUGGUCCACAUGCCCCGUGGUUUCUACAUCAGUCAAAUCAGCCUGUUUCAGUAGCUGUGGCAGCUGGGAAUUGUUUUCGGGAAGCUUGAUGUAAAGAAACCAAACAAAGCCACGGUAUCAACCACGUGGCUAUAAUUUUAUGCCCGCAUCAUAGACCUGGAGUAUUACUUGGAAAAUGAGUGCAAGCUUUAUGUUUUGUCUGCAGAAUAACAUUGGGAUAACAACAGGCAGAACAAAAAGACAAAAAAAUGCUUGGAGGCUUGGGCUGGAUGGGCUGUCAGUACCUGCGGAGGUAACUCUGAAACACCGCUCGCGUAUCUGCCGUGGCUGUAGCACCAAACUAGCUUUAAGGGUCCUUGUAUUGACAAAGUCCACAGAGAAAGUUAAGAGCCCUGAGGAACUGGAAAUAUACAUUGGAAAUACAACUCAGCCUUACAGUGUUAAGACACAGCUCUAGGAAUUUUGUAUAGUAAACAGCAGCAGUCAUUUAACACUUAAAAGCAUUUUCAUUACAGCCAGCAACAGCUCCUGGCAAUACAUGCCUCGAUACCUCCAGAAGGGAUCAUCUCUACUGUUAUGUUGUCUUCGUGUAGACUCUUUGAAUAUGACAGGCUGGGGAACACAGUUGAGCGUUGCAGUUGAUGAGGGAGAGUCUGCAAAGGGAGGCUGCAGCAAGGCUCUGGAAAUCAUGGUGAACACAGAAGCCAGGGAGCAGAGAAACGAGGGCCUGUGUGGGUGCCAGAACAGAGGCUGCCAGAGUACCUGGAACAAAGUGUCAAAGAGCAGGUAUUUCCCUGCUCCCACUAAGGGCUGAAUUUUGCAGGAGUGCCUGCCUCAAACAGAAGCGAAGUGUGGCUGUUGAGGUAGCGGCUGGAAUAAGGUCAGCAGCACCAGUCUGAUCCUAUACCUACAUGUGUAGGAAGGUUGUGAAUGUGCACACCCUCUACGCCCCCCCGUCACAGCGGCCUAUGCCCCUAGUGCCAUGAACAGCACGAGACAAACCACUGAGUAAUGCCUGUAAUCCAGCAGCGUGCUCACUUCUGCAGCUCUUGGCAUGCCCUCAGCCUUUUCAGCUGUUUGGGAUUGGUGGAUUUUUAAUGGCACUGCAAAUGAGCGUAACGGUGCUUCCAGGGCUGAGGCUACAGUAAUUGGUAAUGCUGAAACGCCAACUACUACUACACAGACAAAUUCAGACACUGGGACCUGCUAUGUUGCCCCAGAAGGACUGAUUCGAUGUGCAUGAGUGUUUAAGCCCAGAAACAUGACUUGACUUGCCAGCAGACUUGUGUGUGCGCGUAUUGGUGUAUGGAAAUACCUGCUUGGAGCUAUGACUUUUGGCAAGACCUGAGGCCAAACAGUCAGAAAGAGAAAACAAUGGGUGAGCGGUGUGACUCGAAGACAACUGUAGAAUUUGUAACUAAUUGCUGCUUCAGUGAUGAGUACUUUAAUCUAUUUAGACAUGGAGGGUAAUGAAGAGGGAACUGCGUGCAGACAGAACGAAGGGGACACCUCGGGCUGUUGUGCACAGGGCAGACUAUCCAAAGGAGCGUGACUCAUGCAACAUUGAUACAAGGCAGCUUAUUUAAAACAUUUUUAGCUAGCCAUCAUUUUAAAACGUUAAUGUAGACAAGACCAGUGGUGCCAACCAACAGAGGCUAACUUAAAAUUUAGCUUAUUCCUGGAGCUCAUAGUCUUCAGCUCAUGCUGCUGCUGACUGCAGUAUGUCCUAGCAGGUCUCCAGAAACAGAUCUACUGACAGCUUCUAGGAACGUAAAUUGUCAUAUAAUUUAAAUGCUACAGAAGAAAAAAAUAUAUAAUUAAAAGCCAAGCUAUUGCUGUGGUUAAGAAUGAACUUGUCUUUGCUUCUUUGAAAAGUAGAGCUGAGACCAAGCACUUCAGGAGUUAACAAUGAAUCUCUCAGUUGGUUUCCUUAAUGCAGAAGUGCUGAUCAUGCAGAACUUCCUUUCAAAAGAUGAUACAAUGCUAUGUUUUUUUUUUUUUCAAGGAUUGCUACUUUGCUUCAAACAGACCCUGAACACAUUAAGAGAAAUAAAAAAAGAACAUUGUCAAGUGUUCUGAGCACGCAGAAGAGAUGUCCUUCUGGUGCUGCAUCUCAGAUACAGAGGAUGACUUCUCUUCAACACUUCACUUUCAGAGAUGUCUUUUUUUUUUCUUUUUAAUGAUUGAAGUACUUAGUACUCUAGUUAGACUGUGGUCUCCCAUCCUCCCUGAGCAGAGUUGGAAGAGAGAAGGAAGGAGGCGUCUGCAACUCAGAAGAGAAUAAAAUGGACUGAGCAACCAGGAAACCAGCUUGGGCACCAAGUGGGCACCAGCUUUUGUCCUCUUGCUUCAAGGGAGAGCCAACAGACAAGAGUAGGUCUCUGUAAUUUUAUUCUCAUUACUUACAGUCACUGCACUGUGCCACAAGCUAUUAACGCACAGCAUCCUAUUGCAUGUUGUUAGCUUUGCACGACCCUAGCAGAAGGAACCUUCUGCUUUUGGUUAAACCCUUGCCAUCAACACAUGCUACUAGCUGCAGAACAAAACCCUUGUUAGAGGAUGCAGUCAUUUUUAAAAACUACUUGUUAUUUCAGUAAUCUUUUCCGAAUGCUUCAGAAGCAUGUAUUGAAAUUGUUUACUGUUAGUCUUACGAAGUUUCGCUUGUUUUCUUUCACUGAAUAUAGCAGUGUAUUGCAAAAUGGGAAGGUCCUGUAGCAAAAUCCAUAGUUUUUCUAAAUAAUCCAUCAAAAAUGUUUUCUAAUUGUGACAGUUCUGUUUCAUUUCUUUGCAUAUAACGUAUAUUGUGGAAUUGACUCGAACUCUAAUGUGGUAUAUUCACAAAGAGAACGCAAAACAAUAUACUGCAGUACCAACCCAAGAACGUCGGUAAGGUUUGGCAAGUCAUUAUUUGUCUCUUCGCUCUUCUUAUGAUCUGAGCUGACUUGAAGAGGCAGGUGGACAUGAUCAGUAAGCACCGGUCACUUAGCAGCCUCUGCCUCCUUCUUUUGUGCCUUCUUUCCUCCUGACUCAACGUUGGACUGGCAGGUGAGGCACGCAGAGUUUACAGGAAAGUGGAUGUGAGCAAUAAAACAGAACUAGGGUGUGAGCUGUGGUUGUGUCCUGCCCCUUUCAAAGGAUGGUUUGAAGAAACCUAAUGGCCUAACACGUCAGUCACAUCAAUUAACUGAAACAUAACGGAGAAAAAAUAGCCUGUCACUGUGGUAACCUCCUCGUGUACUUCACUACUUUUACAACCAAUCAUCCAGAUUUCAAUCUGUUUGAAGUACUGCACAGGGACUUGCAAAAGGACCAAAGCUGAUGCUUUCUUUUCUGUGGUGAGUGCCGAGAAUCCAGAAAGAGCGAUGUUCAAGCACGACUACUUCCAAAUGACCAGUUGCACAUGCUGAACGCCUCAGUGAAAAGUGAAUAAAGAGUAAGAGAGACAGAAAAAUAUAUCCUUGUAACUGCUGUCUUUGAGCCCUGUUAUUUAAGAGUGGCUCUUUCCAGCAUCAUUAAUGUUUGCGUUCCUGGAAAAGCUGCUAAUAGAGUGAGAUAUAAAACCCAUUGUUGCACAAGUUCAGCAUGUAAAACAUGCACUGUGAAUACUUUUGAGAAUUUUAAUCUACACACUGUUUCUCCAGUGUGGUCCUUUGCAAUAAAAUGCAAACAGACGCACACUCUCACUCACCUGUAAGAUUGUGACCUGGUUGCACUAAAACUGUAUCCUUAUAUAGCAGCUCCUGCCACAUCAGCUUUUGUGUUGAACCACUGCUCAAUGCUUACAUUACUUUUAUUUUGUGAGCAGAAUUAGAACCAGGUAUUUGAGUGAUGAAAUAAACAUCUGGUGCCAAUAAAUACAGAUCUUUUUAAGUAGCAUUGUCUAAAACAUUUCCAUUUGUUUUCUAGGUUUAAAAGUGCCCAGGAGCAUACAAAAUUAUUUCCAGCACAAAUUGGCUGCAAUCUCAUUGUGACAUUAAGGAAUUACUUCAAUUAGACUUUCUCUUUGCUGUUCCACUGAUGACUGACAAUUGCAGUAACUACAAUACGACAAAGAAAAUGUCAAUUCAUUUGUCUGGGCACUUAACUGCGUACGCAUCGCUAUGAGCAUGGGUGCUGCUGAUUAUUCCACUGAUGCAUUUUUUUUUAAAGCUGUUAUAAGACCUGUAUUUUUAGUGACACCAUUAGUAUCAGUUUUCUUCCUUGGUGAGUCUGUACUGAAAGAAUCAGUGUAAGAUUAAAAAACGUGCUUUUACCCUUCAGAGAUUUAUACAUAAGCUGUAGCACAGUCACAGAAGGAACUGCAUCGAUUGCGGCAUGAACUGAACAACACAAUGAGCACAAAGUUAAAUAUAAACAGGAUACUGUAUUCAAGAGGCCAGUGGAUUACAGAUGCUCCAAAAGAAGGAAGUCAUGCAAAAUUCAAGGUUUGAACCUAUUAAUCACAUUCCAUGAAGACGAUAAAAAGCAGUUAAUGUUAUUCUGGGACUGCUAUAAUUGCACCAGGUCUCCAUCAGGGUGUUGCCUGUGCAUUACUGCAGAGGAGCUCGU